GGCCUACCAUGCAAGUCGAGCGGAUGACGGGAGCUUGCUCCUUGAUUCAGCGGCGGACGGGUGAGUAAUGCCUAGGAAUCUGCCUGGUAGUGGGGGACAACGUUUCGAAAGGAACGCUAAUACCGCAUACGUCCUACGGGAGAAAGCAGGGGACCUUCGGGCCUUGCGCUAUCAGAUGAGCCUAGGUCGGAUUAGCUAGUAGGUGAGGUAAUGGCUCACCUAGGCGACGAUCCGUAACUGGUCUGAGAGGAUGAUCAGUCACACUGGAACUGAGACACGGUCCAGACUCCUACGGGAGGCAGCAGUGGGGAAUAUUGGACAAUGGGCGAAAGCCUGAUCCAGCCAUGCCGCGUGUGUGAAGAAGGUCUUCGGAUUGUAAAGCACUUUAAGUUGGGAGGAAGGGCAGUAAGCUAAUACCUUGCUGUUUUGACGUUACCGACAGAAUAAGCACCGGCUAACUCUGUGCCAGCAGCCGCGGUAAUACAGAGGGUGCAAGCGUUAAUCGGAAUUACUGGGCGUAAAGCGCGCGUAGGUGGUUCGUUAAGUUGGAUGUGAAAGCCCCGGGCUCAACCUGGGAACUGCAUCCAAAACUGGCGAGCUAGAGUAUGGUAGAGGGUGGUGGAAUUUCCUGUGUAGCGGUGAAAUGCGUAGAUAUAGGAAGGAACACCAGUGGCGAAGGCGACCACCUGGACUGAUACUGACACUGAGGUGCGAAAGCGUGGGGAGCAAACAGGAUUAGAUACCUGGGUAGUCCA
rnacentral:rRNA from 1 species